rnacentral:lncRNA from 1 species
AUGUCAAGAUUGCUUGUGUAAAUAAGUGGUGCCAUGAGCUGACAGUGACUUUCUGUCCCUCUAGUCCUACCUCAAGAAUGUACUGACUCACCCUUCUCAACUGAUGACCGUCCUCGUACAAAAUCCUCACUGACCGUGGGCUCUAGAAAACGCCGGAACAAGUUCCAUCUGCCUCUGACUACAGGAGUAAACUACCACUUCCAUGGAAUACACAUA